UACGGAGGGUGCAAGCGUUAUCCGGAUUCACUGGGUUUAAAGGGAGCGUAGGCGGGCAUGUAAGUCAGUGGUGAAAGCCCUCAGCUUAACUGAGGAACUGCCAUUGAUACUAUAUGUCUUGAAUGUCGUUGAGGUUUGCGGAAUAGGUCAUGUAGCGGUGAAAUGCUUAGAUAUGACAUAGAACACCCAUUGCGAAGGCAGCUUACUACGCAUAUAUUGACGCUGAGGCACGAAAGCGUGGGGAUCAAACAGGAUUAGAUACCCUGGUAGUCCACGCCCUAAACGAUGGAUACUCGACAUACGCGAUACACUGUGUGUGUCUGAGCGAAAGCAUUAAGUAUCCCACCUGGGAAGUACGUUCGCAAGAAUGAAACUCAAAGGAAUUGGCGGGGGUCCGCACAAGCGGUGGAGUAUGUGGUUUAAUUCGAUGAUACGCGAGGAACCUUACCUGGGCUAGAAUGCUGGGAGAUCGCUAGUGAAAGCUAGUUUUGUAGCAAUACACUGCCAGUAAGGUGCUGCAUGGCCGUCGUCAGCUCGUGCCGUGAGGUGUUGGGUUAAGUCCCGCAACGAGCGCAACCCCUAUCUUUAGUUGCCAACAGGUAAUGCUGGGAACUCUAAAGAAACUGCCGCCGUAAGGUGUGAGGAAGGAGGGGAUGAUGUCAGGUCAUCAUGGCCUUUAUGCCCAGGGCUACACCCGUACUACAAUGGGGAGGACAAAGGGCUGCAACAUAGCGAUAUGAAGCCAAUCCCAAAAACUUCCUCUCAGUUCAGAUUGCAGGCUGCAACUCGCCUGCAUGAAGCUGGAAUCGCUAGUAAUCGUAUAUCAGCAAUGAUACGGUGAAUACGUUCCCGGACCU
rnacentral:rRNA from 1 species